rnacentral:rRNA from 1 species
GACGAACGCUGGCGGCGUGCUUAACACAUGCAAGUCGAACGGAAAGGCCCUGCUUUUGUGUGGUGCUCGAGUGGCGAACGGGUGAGUAACACGUGAGUAACCUGCCCUUGACUUUGGGAUAACUUCAGGAAACUGGGGCUAAUACCGUAUAGGAGCUCCUGCUGCAGGGUGGGGGUUGGAAAGUCUCGGCGGUUGGGGAUGGACUCGGGGGUUAUCAGCUUGUUGGGGGGGGAGUGGCUUACCAAGGCUUUGACGGGUAGCCGGCCUGAGAGGGUGACCGGCGACAUUGGGACUGAGAGACGGACCAGACUCGUACGGGGGGCAGCGGGGGGGAAUAUUGCACAGUGGGCGGGAGCGUGUGAAAAAGACCUCGCGUGCGGAAUGACGGCCUGUGGGGUGUAAACCGCAUUAGGCUGUGACGAAGCGUGAGUGACGGUAAUGGGUGAAGAAGCACCGGCUAACUACGUG